UACAAACAAUUUUAAUUUUGGUGAGUUAAAACAAAUUUGGUGUGAACAUUUAUGUUUUCACUCAUGAUUUUCGAACUACCAUGAGUUUCAUGAAUGAAAGGGUCUUUUAAUUACUAUGACAAAACAAGUAUAACUUCACACACAAAAAAGGUACACAUCAAAUUAGAGAUAAUAAACGGGGGGGAAAUCUUAACUACUGGUUAACCCCAUUUUUAAAAUAUGCAAGCUGGACAGAAAAGUUACCAAAAUAUAAAACUCGGGCACUUCAAGUGCAUUUUUCAAGCAUAAACAAAAUUUGAGACAUUCAAAUCCUCAAAAAAGAAACAUAAGCUCAUAUAACUAGGUCUUCCCACUCAAACAAUGGCAUUGGCUGCACUAGCAAUCCUAGGCCACAAAUCAGCACAUUCCUUUCCAAUAGGACCCGUAAUAGCAGAACCUACAUUUGAAGGUGAAAUAACCAAAUUAAGAACGAAAUAUGAAAAAACAGAUAAAAUCAGCAAUGCAACUCUGAAGUCCAGUGGCAAAUAUAAGACUGACAAGGGUAGGUUUCAUAUGAUAGAAGGAGAACUGUAAUGAACUUGGGGAAAAGUGUACAAGUAAAAUAAUUAAAUAGAACAUCAAGUCAUAACAUCCUACAUACACUUAAAUUGUAUAAUAUCAUUCUAAAGUAGUUACUUUUAAAUAUUGCAGUCAUUCAAAAUUAUAAUCUUAGGAGUCAAAGAGAGAUAGUCAAAAUAUGAAUCAUAUUUAGAGGUUAUAUAAGAGUCUAAGGAAAGUUAGCUUAUUUAUUCAAGUGAUAUCUCUAUCCAGCCAGACAGACACUAAGCAAACCUGCUCAAAUAUGAAGGCAGUGAAUAGGCCAACAAAACAAAUACAACUUGUAUGGAUACUUAAAAACUUGGUAGAGAGAAGAACCAUUUUUAUUUCUUCAACUAUGAAGAAAGGAUAUUUCAAAACAGGAGCAAUGAGAUUCCCAAUGGUGAUAUCAUUUGACAAUUUUUUUCUGCAGUGAAGCCCUUUAAGGACUCGCCGGUACUAUUUUUGUUGUAGUUCAAAUACACUAAGUCACAUGGUUAAUAAUAUAUUUGUGAUCACAUAUGAACAACUAAACACAGAAAAAGAAUUAAAGGAUAUAUGCAUUUAACAAAUAAAAAAAUGCAUAUGACAGAAGAUACCUUUCAUUUCACCCUUGGGAUUGACAAUGACACCAGCAUUGUCUGCAUAACCCAAAUGUCUCAAAUCAAAAAUUGCUCACGAAAACAUAUAAUACAGAGAAGGCAUGAACAAAAAAACCAGAUCAAAGAAAAAUUAAGCAACAAUAGCGACAACAUGCCUAACAAGCAGAAAAUAUAGAAUCUCACAAAAGUUAAAUUUGAGCAUUAUUUCAGCUUUAAAACAAAACCAAACAAAAUAAACAAACGUGUUAUCUUUACACAAAAACACAAACCAAAUUGAGAUUAACGAUGUCAUUUUCAGAGUUUUAAACAUAAAAAUCAGUAGCAACAAGUUAAAAUACAAAGGAUUAAAAAGAUCAUGAUGUUAAAACCUAGAAAUUUAUUACCUCCAUGUUUCUGAGUAUUUAUUGAAAAUACCAAAACGACACCGAAUCCAAACAAAAGAUGAACUACAUUACCUUCAAAGUACAUAAAAACACCGUCCUUUCGGCGCCAUGGCUUGCGCUGACGAACGAUAACAGCUGGAAGCACCUUCUUCCUGAGAUCGGGUUUCCCUUUCUUCACAGUGGCCAUCACCAUGUCUCCGACACAUGCUGAAGGCAAACGGUUCAACCUACCCUUGAUUCCCUUCACUGAAAUGAUGUACAGAUUCUUGGCACCGGUGUUGUCGGCGCAGUUUACCGUCGCAGCCACUGGAAGACCCAGUGACAUGCGGAACUUGUUGCCGGCAGAGCCUCCCCUUCCUCUCUUCGACAUUGUUGCCCACUCUCUCUCUCUCUCUCUCUCUGGUUUCUCACUCUUGUUGUGUUUUUUGUUUAUAUAGGUAAGGUUUUAGGGUUUACAUGGGCUCAAGCUAAUAUUGUUGGGUCUGAGAACAAAUGGGCUUUCUUAUGAGGUGGAUAGUUUCACUUCAAAAUGUGAAAUGGAUAUGUAGAAAGAUGAAGAUGUAUAUGCACUUUUACUAAUUCCAUUAAAUGUUUUGAGGCAUACGGAGAGAAAAGGUUUAGGGUUAUUUUUAAUGUUAGAUCUUUUGUCUCAAGAUAUAUAUUACUCGAUAUACUCUUCCAGUUUCAUUCAUUAAAAUAUAUAAAGUUAAAAUAUAUUUUACUUUUUUGACUAAUGAUAAAUAAGAAGUGCAUGGAACGGUAUAAAAUUUGGGAUAAAAGAUGCAAUAUCUUUGAUUAAAUGGUUGGAAUUCAAAAAAAUAUAUUUACAAAUAAUGUAGUCUAUUUUACUAAGAAAUCAUAAAUUCCACUUUCAUAGGUUAUUUUUUAACAUAUACAAAAAGCAUAAAAUAUGAAACACUUAAUUUAAUUAAGAAUCAAUAUAGUAUACAUUUCUUUUAGCAUGAUUGUUUCAUCUGAAUGUUAGGAUCGACAAAUACUAGUCGGAGAUUGAGAAUGUGAUCAAUAAUUGAACGGAUAAGAUCUAGUAUACACGAGUGUCAAACACCUACCGCAAAAUUUUGAAAUGUAAUAAAUCAUGAUUAGAUAAUAAGUAUACUAAAAAAAUUAAGAAAACAAAAUAUAGUUAAUUAAAUAUAUAUUUAUUAAAAUGAGUCGUUUAUCAUCAUGGGCCGUAAACAAUCCAGAAAGGCUUCUGCCCUGAUAGAGUGGCAAUUUGGAUUAAAGUAUUUGGGUUGCUCGUUCAAUAGUAUAAUUCGAUUGUGCUUCAUUUUAUUAAGAUGGGAUUAGAUGUUUUCAUUCAUGUUUUACUUGUCCCAAACCAAUAAUAAAACAAAAAUUAUAAAAACAAAAAUUAAUAUUUUAAUAUUAUUUUUUGAAGUUUGAUUGGUUUGGGACAUAAGGAAAAGAAAAUUAUGGGACAGAUCAUCUUGGUCCCAUUGUAUUAGGGUCAAGAUUGGUCAAACUGUUCAAGUAGACAAAAACACAUUGUUGCUAGACUGAGAAAAAUGUGCAAUACUAUAUAGAUAUGAUAUGAACAAGCCCCAUUUAGCCAUGUAUGAUGCCAAAGAAAGGUAUUAAAAAGUAGAAAAUGAAAGACUUCAUUUAUUGUGCCUUACUUGUUGGGACACAAUACAUCAGAUUGUUCGAAGAAAGCUUCUAACACUUCGAACUCUCGCAUGUUACUAAAGAUCCCACAACUGCUAUAGGUCUUUGAACAAGUGAAAGCUAGCCAAAAUGUUCCUAAGCCACGGAGUAUGGUGUGAAAAGGCUAGCCACCAAGGAAUAGAAAAGGAUAUGGAAGUAACCCCAAAGAUUAUUUCAGUGAGAUCAACAUUGGUGAACAAGGUUAUGGCUUCUUGUUUUUGCUUGUUGGAGAAAUGUUUGAUAGUGAGGGUUGAGGAGUUGACUAGAUAGAAAUUGGCAACUUUGUUAUUUUAUUUUUAUUUAUUUUAUUGCACAUUUUUUCCACUUAAAACUAGUAGGAUACCGGUGUAUUCGCACGGGUGGUACUGUGUAUUGCAUGCAUUUAAUGGAAGAGCGACAAUAUAACUAGUUAAUGAAAAUGUUAUUGAGGAUUACAUAUUAAAACAUAGUUUGUAGUAAUUCAUUGUUGAUGUAAACAUGUUGAAAUAAUGAAAUGUUAUUGAACAUGUAAUGUUAAAAAAGAAAAUAUGUUAGGAAGAAAAGUUUAGAACAUAAUGUAAAAUAAGUUGUAGAAUACAUGUUAAAGAUUUUGAAAAACUUCUUUGUAAACCACAUUUGUUAUUGAUUUGAGUGGUUUACCAUCUUUGUCAUGUAUCAAUAUUUUCAAUCUAUUUUUUGUUUGAAUUCUUGAAAUAGAUACAUACAACUGAUCAUGACUGAAUACUAGUCUUGGUAAAUACAAUCUCACACUUUCUAAUGUCUGACCUUAAGAUUUAUUAAUUGUCACUUCAUACGAAACAAUUAUACGGAAUUGUAUUCUCAUAAGCGUGAAAGGUCAUGGAGAUUGUGAUGGAAACAUUGAUAGCCGAUGAAUAUAUAUAAUAUUUCUAAUGUUCUUUCCAGAUAUGAUCUUCGCUUCAAGUAUAUGAUUUGUCAUCUUAGUAACCACCAACCUUGUACCAUUACAUAAUCAUUCAGACUGAUCUAAAUUCAUUAAAAGCAUUACCGGAGUUCUCACUUUCAACUUAAUCUUAUGAUUUGGAAGAAGUCCUGAUGUUGCAAGUGAAUUUAGAAAUUAUGGAAUUAGUAUGUUAAAUGUUUUACUUUAAUUAGCAUUAGACAUAUCAACUAAAUCUGAACUCAGGUAUUCCUUUUCGUCACCUAUAAAUAUAGAAUAGAACAUUUAUUAAUAUCAAUAUAAUAAAUCUAUUAUCUUUAAGAUAAUGAUUAUUAAAAGAGAACUGAAUAAAAUUUACCUAGAAUUUUACUCAAAAUAUACUCAUUGAUUUCAUCAACAAUCUCAAUUGUAGAUUGUUGAUGCAAGUGCUCUACUUUGAAGAAAUUGUCCAUCAUUCUAAUGAUUUUGUAAGUUUGGGUAGGUGCUAGAUACUAUGGCAUCAAUCGGGUUAUCAUAAUCUAGAAUUAGAAGUUCUUCUGGAAUAUCAACUUCAACGCAACCAUCAUUAGACUCAUAUAAUUUUUCAUCUCUCAUCUUUAGUAUCCAUUCAGAGAAUUGUCUGAUAUCGGUUGCAUUGUUAUGAUUUUGUAGACGCAUGUUCUGUGUAAAAGUAAGUAUUGUACAUUGAUAUCAAAGAUAAGAUGCAUUAAUUUUUGCAUGUACUAUAUAUGAACGACACCCUCUUGGAAUCACUUGUAAGAUUUGUCUAAAAUCACCUCCAAAUACUACAACCUUUACUCCAACCAAAAUUGAGUCAUUUUUUGUUAUACCUAUUACUACGCCAGAAUAGCAAAACAAUAGCGCUUAAAAUUGUCAUUUAACAGCGUUUUUGUGGCGCUUUCUAUGUGAGCGUAGUAAUACAUAAGGUUAUAUUCAACAGCAUUUUUUAUAGCGAUGUAGAAAGAAGCAAGCGCGGUUAAAUGUCUACUUUCUAAAUAAGACAAUAUAUCUACCAAACAUUCUAUCAAAAACAUGACAAUCAUGUCCAACUCCACCAUAUUUACAAUAUAUUUGUUAAAUCACCAACAACUUCAACUACAUUCAACCUUAGCAGAUUCCAAUAUUAUAAAAUAACAUAUGAGUAAUGAGAUCUUACGCAAAUUGUUCAUUUUUUCUCCUCCAAUGUUCUAGAACUUCAUAGCUGCAUAACUUCACAACAAAUAAAGAUCACACUAUUAGUGAAUAGAGAAAUAAAUGAGCUAAAAUAAGAUAACGAUUUACCUUAUGCUUGAAGAGAAAAACCAAAAAUUAAUAACUUCACCGUAGCUGCAUAACUUCACAACAAAUAAAUAUCACACUAUUAGUAAAGAGAUAAAUAAAUGAGCUAAAAUAAGAUAAGGAUUUACCUCAUGCUUGAAGAGAAAAACCAAAAAUUGAUAACUUGUUUGAAAAGAAAAACUAAAAACAAAAGAGGAAAAAAAUGUAACUUAUGGAGAAGAAGAAAAGUAUGAGAAAUAACAAACUCAUUGAUACGUAUUAUUGUGUGAGGUUUUGUUUUUGAAUUUGAAAUAUUCUCGCUCACUAAAACAAACGUUUAACCAUGCUUAUCAAAGAAGUGUUAUUAAAUAUACAAAGCUUUAACAAUGUUUGCUUCAAUAAACACCGUUAAAGAUAACACCUUUAACAACGCUUAUUGAAGGAAUGUUGUUAAAUAUAUGAAGUAUGACCUUUAACAACGCUUGCUUCAAUAAGCGUUAUUAAAUAUAACACUUUUAACAUCGCUUUCUUCAAUAAGUAUUGUUAAUGAUAACAAUUAUAACAGCGCUUAUUGAAGAAGUGUUGUUAAAGCUCAUACUACAUAUAUUUAACAACGUUUUCUUCAAUAAACAUUGUUAAAGAUAACACAUUUAACAAUGUUUUCUUCAAUAAGCGCUGUUAAUUCUCUUCCAUAUUACAUUUAACAGCAUUCAACAUAUAAGUGUUGUUGAAUGGACGUUGUUAAAUAUAAAUUCUAGCGUAGGGCAUUAUGUCUCCAAGACUUUUAUAAAGUGCCUCAAAGCAAUACUUAUGUGACAUUAGGGUUUCAUCCUAUAUAAUUAACUUUGUUUGUUUCAAUAGGUCUGCAAGUUCAGACCCUUGAUGAAUGUUGUAAACAAAGUUGUCAAAAGUGGGUACAUGUAUUUUGAAUUUAGAGUGUGUUGUCCUACCUACAGGUAAUAAGAGAGAAGUAUAUCACUUAAAGCUACAUUUAAUACAAUAUGCUUUUGAGAUCUUAAUGCAAAAGUUAGAGUUCGUCACAUAUGCGUUUUUUCAGUUCCUCUAUAACUAAAUAAGAAAAACAUGCGACCUUGUUGGUGGUUAAGAGCUUGAGUGAUAUUGUGUAAUAUCUUAUAUUGUUCUUCUACAUAAUAUGAAAUGAAUAUGUAAACAUUCAUCUUAUUAGUAGAUAUAGAUUAAUUAAAAAUAAGAAUUAAAUAUAUAAAUAACUAACAAAAUAGAAUUACAUGUUGUAGAGUUAAAAAGAAUAUUGAAUUUCUCUUCAAUUCAUCUGUAUCAUGGUUAAGUUCUUCAUAUAUAAGUAUAUUGCUUAAUUGACUUAUUAUAUAUCAAUUUGGGUAUGAUAUUGAAGGAUAGUCUUUCAAACUUCUUCGAUUUACUUCAAGUAGUUUUUCAAUCUUCAAUAAAGUUAGAUUUUAUACUUGUUCAUCUAUAAGCACCAACCCUAAAAAAUGAAAAAAAAAAGUCAUGACAUGAUAUAAAAUAUUUACAUUAUGGUGGAAUUUUAAUAAUGUAUUGUAAUGUGAUUAUUCUAUACCUUGAUUAUUGGAGAUAGUUCUUUGGUUGUAAAGAAUUCCAUCAAAUAACCAUUGCUAUGUUUCCUCCCAAACAUGCUUUGGUUUGUUCAUGGAUGUUGAUAAGAUCAUUGUGACAAAUAAUUUCCUCAAGUAGUAUCCAGAACCCCAAUUAUUUGCCUCUCUUAAAGCUUCAAUAUAUACUAUGUCAUCCUUAAGCAAACCCGUAGCAAAACAUGCAUGCCUAAAUGUUGGAUAUUCAACAUUUGAAACAGUUCUAAUAUCUUCAUAACAUGUUGGUCCUUUAACCACUAUCAACAUCAUCAUAAGAUAAUACAGUUCACUACUGCAUAGAGAAACCCAAAUUAGUCUACCAAUUGUAUAACCUGAUUUUAUUGGUUUCCAACACCUUUUUUUCUUGACAUAAACAAAAUUUGAGACAUAUUGGGCAUAACCUAGAGUUCUACCUUCUGGAUAUUGUUUAUUAGUUUUCAUCAAGGAUGUAAAUAUUGAUUCUGAUACUGUUGGUCUUGAAAGAACAUUAUCAAAGUCCUCGUGAUCAUUAAAGUAUUUUGGUUGCUCUCUUGGAAGAUGAAAGUACAAUCGUUCAACUGCAGGUUGUCUCUCAUGAAUUGGAAAUUUAAAAACUCUCCAACAUGCUUCUGAUGGUGAUACAUAUCUACAAUCAAGAUAUUGUUUAAACUCAUCAAUGUUUCCUCGAGUUUGUGACCCACCAUCUUCUGUUGGUUCAAUAACAAUGGUGAUCCUAUCAUAGCCUUUGUUUAUAUACUUGAAUAAGUACUUAACUAAAGUAAUUUGGUUACACCAUUCCAUAUUAAUGUGAGCUUGAUAUUUUCUUAAUAGUUGUGGGUUGUAAGGAACAACAUAAUGAUUGUCAAGAGAAAUACCAUUUUUUCAACAAUGUUUCCACCAUCUCUUCUCUUAUAAACUGGAUAGUCGUCUUGAUCAACAAUUAUAGAUUGUUGGAAGUGCUUAUGAAAAUACCAUGAACAUUUACCAUCCUUCAUACAUGGAGAAGACAUGUUGCAAGAACCACAUGGACCACGAAUCAUAUGUGAUUUCACCAACUUGUAUAAUUCAAGAUCAUCAUUCUCACAUGGAAUUUAAGUAGGGAUAAUUUUAUCAAUAUCAUUUGAAGAUGGAUAUUUGUACAUGGAUGUAAGAAAAUAAGCAAGUAGUGUACAUAUCUGAAACAUUAAAUGAAAAAGGAUUAUAAGCAUGCAUAUUUAAUUAAAUAGUAAAAUAUAAGAGAUCAUUUAAAAAUUAUAUGGAAAAUAUACUUACACGCAAUUACUUUACCCAAAACAUGCAUUUUCUUCAAAUCAUGAAGUAAUUCUUCAAACUUAAUUUUGAUAACCCUUGAGAUGAUAUCUAGCUUAUCAUGUAGCUUCAAGCCAAUAGGGUUAAGAAAUAUUACAAUUUUUGGCCAAUUAGGAUUGCAUGUCAUUUCAAGAACAAAUCAAGAAAUUCCAAUGAACUACAAAUAGUCAUCCAAUUAAAGUAUAAUUGAUCCAUGUAUCUGCGACUACCAACAAAUGUUGAAGGUAAUAUUACUCUCUUUCCAAUAUUUGAUCCUUGACUUUGGUCAUUUGUUUGAGAUUCAUUCAAAUUUCUGUAUUUAUCAACCCUUAGCUUUGUUCAAGUUGUUUCCUAUAAAUGUAACAAAAUUGGUUCAAAAUAACACACAAAAUUUAUGUAAAGAUAACAUAAAUUUACUUCAGCUGAUGUUCGAGCAGUAAUUUCAGACAUAAUGUUCACCUCAGAUUUAUACAUAAAUCGGUCAUCAUCAGAUAAGUUAGUAUAUUGUGAUCAUUGGUUGUUACCUUGGUUCAAUGAGUCACGAGAAAGACUGAUGGUAGAAAAGCUACAAAAAAAAAUUAUUCGGCGGAUUUCAGUAUGAUACCAAAAACACAAUUGUUAUUUUAGGUCUAAUUUCAUUGUACAUAUCUUUAUAUUUUUGAAUGUUAGAAAUGUCUUCACCAGUCAAUAUUUUUUAUCCACACCAUAAAUUGUGGAUACUUCCCUACAAAAAAACAAUGUAAAUUAAAAAAAUGUAAUUAUGAAUUUAUAAUACAUAAUAAGUAAUGCUUAAAAGAUAAAAACUACAUUGUCCUUCCUUGACUCUAGCAUGAGUUAAAAGUAUGAUCAUGGAUUGACCGGUAGGUUGGUUAUUAUAGUAGUUAAAAAACUUUAUGGCAUGGGAUUCCCAUAGGGUACGCGUAAUAACAUCAACACUAAUUAAAAAUUCCAAGUGCAAGAAUUGUGUCAAAAAUGUAAUUCAAUCUUCACAUACAUAAAAUACAAAAAACACAAUUGACUCACAUAAAAUCUGUCACAUUAAAAAUAACUUUCUUCAAAUUUGCUUGUGUCUACGAGAAAAACAGUUUGUCAACCGCUCCAAUGACAUCUAAUUCAAUCAUAUAAAAAAGAUGAUUCAAUAAUAUAAUUGAAAUAAAAAAUAUGGAUAUUACAUCUAUGCUAAAAAACUAACCUGCUAACAAAUUAGGUUGAAAGUUCCCAACAAGUAUUUCACCAAAUUUCUUAAAAUCAUAUUCAAAUUGAGGAAUAUCAGGAAAGUCUCUCUUUUAGGGUUGUACUUGCAUGAACUGUAUUUUGUACCAUGAUCACAUGUCUUAAAUUGUAGAUCAUUAUGCAUCACAUUGAGAUUGUGCAUCACAUAGGUGUUAUUCUCCACCAACUUUUCUCUACAAUCAUUGAACUCGUCCCUUUUAACAUACACUUGAAUUUUUUCCCCCUAAAUUCAUUUAAAAAUAUAAAAUUAAUAUGCAAACAAAUAUGUUUUUACAUAAAAUAUAUAUUAUUACCUUAUAAUCCAUCAAUAUCAUUUCUAGAUGUCUGGUUUUAGGUGGUAAUUAUACCUACCAAAUUUUAUUAACUCUAACAACAAUCUUCCACAAGUGUUUUAAAACAUUCAAAUCUUUUAACAGGUCGAACGAGCGUGUUAUUAACAUUAUGCUGGUUAAUUGUAUUAUGACUAAUUUAUAUUAACAAAAUUGAAGAAAAAUACUUUAUUAAGUUAUAGAGAAAAUGGAAUUUUUUUUUUUUUGUUUCCCACAGGUAUCCUCGCACUAGAGGCAAUCCUGUCCGAGCCGGGCACAUCCACAGGUAAGUGGGGCUAACUCUCCCAACGGAUAUUUUUUCCAUCCACAAGACUCGAACCCGGGUUCUUGCUUAAGGGGAAUCAAGCAUGUACCACUUGAACGAACGCCCGUUGAUAGAGAAAAUGGAAUUAGACAUAAAUUAAGCAAAUAUUGAGUAAAAAAUGAAUAUAAGUAAUAUAUGUUACCAAAUUUGAAUUCAAUCAUAUAAGAUCAUUGAGAAAAUGAAAGAAGGCUAUUGAACUUACAUUAUAUGUUAAGGCCAUUUUUCAGUGGUGAAUUAAUAAGUAAACUCCCAUAUAAUAUGAAGACCUUGUUUUUAUUUUUGAAGACAUGACUCUCUCCGUAAGACUCAACUAUAUUCAUCACCAAGAAUGGUUUUUAAAAAAUUGGGAAAUAAAAGUAUUUACAGAAUACCAUAAAAAAAAUUGAAGCAUAAAUGAUAAUAUCGGUGGAAUAACAAACUUAUCCUCAAUAAAAGUAAACCUACAAAAUUGAAUAUAGUAAAUUAUAGACAUUAAUUAUUAAGAAUAUCAUAUAGUAGAUGUAAUGAAACAAUAUACAUUGGAAGAAUAUAACAAAUGAUAAACAAUGCUUGUAUAGCUUUCAUUAAUUAUUAUACACAUUGCAGAACUUGAUUAGCCAAACAAAUAAGACAAUUAUAAGGAGCUAUAUACAAUUCAAGAAUAUAACAAAUACAAAAAAAUAAACACAAUAUAUCAUGAAAAAAGUAAAGAAACAUUAUUAAAGUAAACAAAAUAUUGCAGAACUUUAUUCACCAAAUAAAAAAGUCAACCAACACAAUAUGCAAAAAAAACAUGGACAACUUGAAGAUAGUCUUUUAAAAAUAAAUACCAAGCGAUGGUGGACAUGCAAAGAGUCAACUUCAAAUAUGUUAGCCCCAUGACACUUCAACAUUCACAUACUGACCAUAAUAACUCAAUAACUCAAUAAAAAAAUAUUUAGCUAAGAUAAGAAAUUAGUAAGCUCAAAAAUUAUAAAAUGAGCUCUAAAAUGUAAAACUGAUCAUGCAAAGAAUAAGGUAGUAAGGAAAUAAAAUUAAAGUUAUAAUAAUGUAAGUCAGUAAGGAGAACAUAAAUGACAGAUUAUCACUGUAAACAGUAAAGAUGAUAAGACAACAAUUUUGAAGACAACAUUAUACAUAAAAUGAAAUUUCAUAAACCUUGCAUAUGUUAUUCAAGUGUAAUCAUAAAAGGCAUAUUGUUUUAUCUGUAAGUGCAAUCUUUUAGAAUGAUAGAUAGUAGAACAGUGAGAACUGUGUAGAAAGGCAUAUUAUUUUAUCUGUAAGUAAAAUAACAUUUAUAACCUGUAUUUUAAUGUAUUUCAACAAGUAAUAGUAAAAGUAAUAAUAAAAUUGUUAUCACUACAACAAGUAAUAAUAAACGUUUAUUUCUAUAGCAAGUAAUAAUAAAUUUGUAUUAGCAAGUAAUAAACAUGUAGUUUAUUUCUUUAGCAAGUAAUAAACAUGUGUAUACAAUUAAAGUUAUUAUUGUUUAAUAUAAUUAUUAGCUUAAUAUAAGUAUUAGCUUGUAUAGGGAUUGUGUAUAUACACUUAAAUAUAAGUGUUAGCUUGUAAUGUUACAAGUAUCUUGUUUAGUGAUUUGAGAAACUGCAUCACAUAAAUAUUCAUCAUUUCAUUGUCUAUAUACACUUAAAGUUGUGAUUAUUUAAUGAGAAUAAUGUAUCUCCUCAUAUCAUGAGAUAAUUUGUCUCCUCUAACUAGUAAAAAUGUGACAUGUGUGCUAUUUAGUUUAUUUUUAAAAAUAUUUUUACAGAAAAUUAUGAAACAUGAUACAUGUCAUGAUUUCACUGGCAGAAGGAGAUAACUUAUCUCCUUAUAUCAGGAGAUACUCACUAAUUUCAUUGGCAGGAUCUACUUAUUUACUCCUCAUCUUAACCAUUAAUUCUAGGGGCAUUUAAUGGUUUAGAUUUACUCACUAAUUCAAACCAUUGGAUUUCCCUAGAAUUGAUGGUCAGAGUGAAGAGUAAAUUUAAAAAACUUACACUUAGAUUAAGUAGAUCCCUCCUCUAUAAGCAGUGGCGGAUCUUGACCAUAAUUUUAGAGGGGGCAGCAUUAUGAUUUAUACAUAAAUAACAUAUGAAAUAGUAGAAUAUAUAUAAAUUUUUAAUGUAAAAAUGAGUUAUUCUUUCAUGUUUAAAUUUCCAAGAAACAUGAUAAAAAUAUAACAUAACAAAUCUAUGAAGAAAUUCCAAAUAUUCCUAAGCACAAAUAAGUUCAUUAUCUCUUAUAAACAUUAUAUGUAUUUUAAACUCAGAAGAAUCGAGCAUAAAGUUAGUUUUUCAAUCCUUUCAAAUAGAGAAUCAAAAUAAUGUAUGCUUGAGAUUGAUACAAAUAAUUUUUUAAGUGAAAAAUAUAUAAAGAUAGAAAUAACGAAAUCAAGAAUAUCACACAUAGCAAUAGAAUAACCCAACUAAAAUUAAUUAAUAAAAAAAUAGUUCACUAACAAAGAAUAACAACGUCCAUGAAUAAAAUUUGAUGUAAGAAACAAAGAAAUCAUAAGUAAUCACAUGAAAAAAGCAAUUGAAGAAAACUGAUUUAUAAAGAGCAAAUAUGACAUUUUUAAGGUGAAAAAAUAAAUGGGUUUGAGUUGGAGAGUUAUCUAAAGAGAUAUUAGGAGAGAGGAAUAUGUCAUGUGAUACUAAAGAGAGUGAAACUUCAUAAAGGGUGAGAGUUUUGAAGAGAAUGUUGAAUUUUUUUAUUGUCCAAUAAGUCAUGUAGAAGUAUUAUUCUAUGAGAGAAGAAUAUAUGCACUAACAAUGUAUGAAUUUUAUAUUUUUUCACUUGAUCACCUACCAUUCAUAUUCAAUCUUUAUUAACUCUUUAAAAAAAUUAAUCUUUGAAUGAUGAAUGAUGUAGUGAAUGUGUAUAAAUAUUACACUCUUAUCCUUAAAUUUUGUUGUUAAAUUUUAAAAUAUACCAAAAACAAUAUCUCUAUAAUAUUUUUUUUAAACAUUUGAGGGGGGCAACUGCCCCCACCUAUCCUAGAGAAGAUCCGCCCCUGCCUAUAAGUAUUAGCUUAAAUAUAAGUAUUUGCUUAUAUAGGGAUUGUGUAUAUACACUUAAAUAUAAGUAUUAGCUUGUAACGUUACACAGUAACUUUUUUGGUGAUUUGAGAAAAUGCAUCACACAAAGAUUUAUCAUUUCAUUGUGUAUAUACACUUAAAGUUGUUACAUAGUACCUUUCUGGACAGUGUAUAUACAUAAUUUUAUUGUAUUUUUAAUAACUAAAAAAAUGAAAAAUAGCAAACUAAAAAUCAAGAGGAAGAAGAAAAUGUUGCAUUUUUAACCAAAAAAAAACUCAAAGCAUGCAACCACAAACCCAAAAAAACCCUCAUCCUAAAACAUAAAGUUAAAGCCAUGAAAAAGUAAAAAAAAAAAUGUUGUAUUUUUAACAACCAUAAAACAAAAACCAGCAUCUGGAAAUCAAGAGGGAGAAUAAAUUGUUGCAUUUUUAACAAAUAAAAUUUAAGCAUGCAACCACAAAUCUGGAAAAAUAUUAACAAAAAUGUGAAGUCAAAACCAUGAAAAAUUAGAAAAGUGUUGUAUUUUUAACAACCAUAAAAGAAAAAAUAGUAAAUGACAAUCAAGAGGAAGAAGAAAAUGUUGCAUUUUUAACAAAAAAUUAAAACAUGCAACCAGAAACCCUCAAACUUGUUUUUAGCCAUAAAACAAAAGUGGAACCAUGCUGAAAGAUGGAUUACUUUCAGCAAAUAUGAAUACUGAGGAAUUAUAGUAAAGAUAAAUUUCGGUAAUGAAUAAAUAUUGAUACCUUAAAACUAUGUGAGGAAGAGGAAAAUAAUAGUUUGAUAGAGAGUAUAAGAAGUGAAGAUAAAGGGAGAGAUAAAAUCUUAAUAUGAAUGUAAAGUGGAAAAAGGAACUUUGAACCCUGUAAUACGAAUGCAAAGGAACUUUGAACUGUAUAAUGAAAAGUAAAAAGUGGGAAAAGAUGGGAACAUGUAAUAAUGACUUGAAGUAAAAAUACAUUUAUAACCUGUAUUUCAAAAGUCUUAAGUUCGAACACUAUAUGCAAUUUGGUAAUAUACACAAUGUUGUAAAAAGAAACGUUAAAGUAAAUUAUGUUAGAAAUCAGAAGAAGAAGAAGUCAAGAAAGAGAAUAAGAUGAAAACAGAGAGUGAAUAGAAGAUGAGUGUUUGUAUGUGUGAGAAUGAAUGGAAUCAAUGAAUAAAUUUUUCUUACUUCAAUAAUGCCUCAAUCAUAGCUUUCAUACAAGUUUCUAUAUUUGGUUAACCAACUUAACCAACUAUCUAUAGUUAGAAACUUCUAACUACUCUUAACUAACUUCUUGAUUACUCAUUUUAACAUCCUCCCUUAAUCAAUAAGCUACUUCAUUUCUAAGUAAAUGAAAAGAAACAGAAACAGAAACAAAACUUAUACAACAAAGAAAAAUUCAUUCAUUGAUUCCAUUCAUUCUCACACACACAAACACUCAUCUUCUAUUCACUCUCUGUUUUUACCUUCUUCUCUUUCUCGACUUCUUCUUCUGAUUUCUGACAUCAUUUAGAAACUAAAGACAUUCAACAUGUCUCUUAACUUCCUACAUCUAUCACUCUUCAUAGCAUUUGUCAAUACAUCAUCUUUUUUAAUUUCUGUUGAGCAAUGCACCAUCUUCACUUUUCAUUUUUCAACUUGAUCUCUCAAGAAGUGAAACAUUGUUUCUAUGUGUUUGCUCCUUCCAUGGUUUAUAGGAUUCUUUUCCAAGUUUAUUGCUGACUUAUUGUCCACUCUUAAUUCGAAGUUAUCAAACUCCCCAUACCUUAGUUCUAUCAUCAAAUAUAUCAGCCAAAGUCCUUGGCAUGUAGCAUUACAAGCUGCAAUAUACUCUACUUCACAGGUUGAAAGAGCUACCACAUCUUGCUUCCUUGAGCUCCAAGAUAUAGGUGCACCAAAGAUAGUGAACAGAUACCUGAAGUACUCAUCAUAUCCUCCUUAUCUCCGUGUCUAAAUAGCCCAUGAAAAUCGACUAACACUUCUGCUUCUGAUUUGAAAAUAUCACCCCAUAACAUAAGGUUCCUUUCAAAUAUCUAAUAAUUCUCUUUGUUACAAUCAUGUGUGAUUGUGUAGGAUUAACCAUGUGUUUUCUUAUCAUCCCUACUCCAUAGGUUAUUUCAGACCUGCUGUGGCAAAUGAACCUAAGGCAGCCAAUAAUUUCUCUAAAAGAUGUUGCAUCUGUAGGGUUUUCCUCACCUGUGUUGCUCAAUUUCUGGUUUCCUUCAACUGGUGUUGAUGCAAGCUUGCAACUCAGCAUUUGAAACCUAUCUAGUACUUUUGUUAUGUACUUCUUUUGAUGCAUCAUUAUUCCUUUUUCUGUCUUUAUAAAUUCUAUGUCAAGGAAAUAUGCUAAUUCUCCAAGAUCAGUCAUGUCAAACUCAGCCUUGAGCUUUCCUUUCAACCUUAGAAUUUCAGUUUCACUACUCCAUGUGAUGACUAAGUCAUCCACAUAGAGACAGAUUAGGAUUAGAUCACCUAUGCAAGUAAGAUUCACAUACACACCAUGUUCUAACUUGCACUUGGUAAAACCAAUGGAUUUUACGAAUGAAUCAAUCCUUCUAUUCCAAGCUCUUGGAGCUUGUUUCAGGCCAUACAAUGCUUUCUUCAGUCUUAGCACUUUGGUUUCAUCUGUUGAAGUCUCAAAUCCAGGAGGUUGAGUUAUGUAGACUUCUUCUUCAAGAGGUCCAUUGAGGAAGACACUCUUGACAUCAAGUUGUCGUAGCUUUCAACCAUUCUAACUAGCAAUGGCAACAAUCAAUCUAACUGUCUCAAAUCUGGUCAUUGGUGUAAAGACUUCAUCAUAGUCAUAUCAUUCCCUUUGCAUGAACCCCUUAGCCAUGAGCCUAGCUUUGUGCUUAGAGAUACUUCCAUCAGGUUUUAACUUGACCUUAUACACCCAUUUGACUAUUAUAGGCUUCUUAUCUUCAGGUAAUUCAGCAUCUUCCCAGGUGUCAUUCUUUUUUAUGGCUUUGAGUUCUUCCUCCAUUGCUUUGAACCACACGUCCUCCUUUAGUGCCUCCUGGAAGGUGAUUGAUUCAGUUUCUCCUAAGAGUGCUAGGUGAAUCAAGUCACCUUCAUCUGUUAUUACAUCAUCAACAAACAUCUUAAACUCACUAAGCCUCAAUGGUAGAUGUCGUGCUCUUGUAGGUCUAGUUUCAGCAACCUUGAUCUCAUGACUCCUUGUUCUUGGAUCAUGAUUCAAUUCUUCUGUGACUUCCUGAUCUUCUUGUAUUGGUACUAGAGUCACUGACCUAUUUUUCUCAAGCUUACUAAGAAGAUCCUUCCAUGAGCUCAUUUCAUCAAAGUAGACAUCCCUGCUAAAUGCCACUUGUUUAGUUGUAGGAUUCAAGAGUUUGUAUGAUCCUGUUGAAUUAUAGCCCACAAGAAUCAUUAGUUCACUCUUGUCAUCCGAUUUCUUUCUCACUUGGUUUGGAAUAUGCUUGUAGCAGGCUGAACCAAACACCCUCAGAUGCUUCACUGAUUGUUUCUUUCGAGUCCAAACCUCUUCAGGAACUUGUUUGUCAAGAGCUUGAGUUGGACAUCUAUUGAGAACAUAAGUUGUUGUGGUCACAGCCUCACCCUAGAGAUUAUGAGGCAAGCCUUUGCACUUCAACAUACAUCUUACCAUAUUCAUAACAAUCAUAUUUCUCCUCUCAACCACUCCAUUGUGUUGUGGAGUAUAUGGAGCAGUGACUUCAUGAAUUAUGCCAUACUCCACACAGAAAUCUUCAAGCUCUCUUGAGGUAAACUCACCCCCUCCAUCAGUUCUGAGAAUUUUAAAAAGCCUUCCUGAUUGUCUUUCUGCCAAGGCCUUAAACUUACAUAGGUGAUCAAAUACUUCACUCUUUGCUUUGAUGAGAUAUAUCAAUAUCUUCUUGCUAUACUCAUCAAUGAAGGAUACAAAAUACUUGUUUCCUCCUAGUGAAGGAACCUCAAAAGGCCCACAUACAUCUGAAUAUACAACAUGUAGUAAGUCAGUAGCCCUAGUUUGAGUAUGAUUACUGAAUGAAUUCCUGGCUUGUUUACUAGCUAGACAACUAUCACAAACUAAGUUUUGUGGUUUUAUUUAUGGCAGACCUAUGACAAUUUCCUUAGUGCUUAGCAAUCUAAGAUCCCUAUAAUUGAGACGAUCAUACUUACGUGCCAAAGCCAAGACUCAUUUGAGGUUGUUUCUGCAUUCAAGCAUUAAGAGUCCAGAAUUCCCAACUUGACUUGGAAUGUCUUGUUGCUUGAUAGUGGAGCUUACAGGAUUCUCCUCUUUGAAGUGUCAUAGACUUCCAUAACUUCAUUAUUCAACUCCAUACAGAAACCUCUUUCAUGUAACUGGCCAAGACUGAUGAGAUUUGUUUUCAUUUCAGGGACAAAUAACACAUCAGUUAUGUAUGUUUUUCAGCCAUUCUUAUUGGCCAAGACUGAUGAGAUUUGUUUUCAUUUCAGGGACAAAUAACACAUCAGUUAUGUAUGUUUUUCAGCCAUUCUUCAUCUUGAGAGGAAUAUCUCUUAUCAAUUCUAGGCAAAUAUAAUAUUUUAAAUCUAUUAACUAAUUCAAACCAUUAGAUUUUCCUAGAAUUGAUGACUAAAACGUGGAAUAAAUUUAAAUUUACUCAUAAAGUAAGUGGAUCUUGUUACAGAAAGAAGUCCACAUUUACCCAAUUUCUUAUAAUAGUUAGGGUUUAGAGCAAAAUUUUAUUUAUUUUGUAUAUCAAAACAUAAUAAUGCUUACAAUAUCCACCUCCUUUGAUGUUAAAAUGGUAUGAGGCAUUGACAAGUCUUUUUGAUGAAUAAGAAAAAUGAGAUAUUUAUGAAUGAGAAAGACAAGAAAAGCUUAAAGCUUGGAGGAGGAGGAGGAGGAGGAGGAGGAAUGGAAUUAAUGAAUGAAUUUUUCUUACUUCAAUAAUGCCUCAAUCAUAUCUUUUAUACAAGUUUCUAUAAUUGGUUAACCAACUUAACCAACUAUCUAUAGUUAAAAACUUCUAGCUACUCUUAACUAACUUCUUGAUUACACAUUUUAACAAAUUACCACCUUUUUUGUUGUUCAGAACCUGCCAUAAAUUUUGUUCAAUGCAGUUCAGAACAUGACAUAAAUUACCAUCUUUUUUGCUGGAGCAUAUAUAAUAAUAAUAUAUUAAUAAUAUAAUAGAAAUAGUAAAAAAGUUGUUGUUACAAUUUUAACCCUGAUAAAUUCAAGUGUCAUGUAUGGAAGAUGUCUAUUUUGAUAAUAUCAUAAAGUUUAUUGCAUUUUCUUAUAUUAAAAAAAUAAGAUAAUAGAUAUCAUUCAUUCUCUUUACUUAUUAAUAAAUGAACGUUAUAAGGAAUGACACAUCACUACUAAUGCACUUCUGUAGUGUUGCACUAAAGAAAUUGUACACCAAGGAUGCUCCAAUAGAGAUUGUAACAUGUGGCACAAUAAAUAUCUAAUAUAUAAUAGUCACAAUUUGUUUAGUAAAAUAAUUUUUAUAUUUAAUAAAUAUUGGAGUCAUUGAAUCUAUGCAUUCUGUCUAGUUUGCAUACGGAAGAAGAUGAUGUAAGAAAUUUUGAGUCAUACAUAUAAUGUUUAAGUAUGUUUAGGGUCAUUAUUUUAUGUAACUAAAUUAAAGUGAUCUAAUUUAAGUAAGGUAUAUGUAUAUAGACAUAAUUGUCAUAAAAAUUAUAGUGUGGAUAUUAAAAGUCUUAUUUCUAUUUUAUGAUGAACAAAAUUGGAAUAAGAGAAUGAAAUAUCAUCACUUUUCAUGGAAAGUUAAGCACUUUUUAUAAAUAUGAGGUUAUCAUUCCUAAAUGUAGACCAACACCACACAACAACAUGAACCACAACAUGAGAGUUCAUUCUCUUUAUCCCAUUAGAGGAAAAACUAAGACUAAGAUCUACAAUUGGAAGACCAAAUAAUCUAGUGUUCUACUAUGAACAUACAUUUGCACACAAUAGCAAAGGACAUGGAGUUGAUAGAUACAUGAUAAAGGAUGAUAUAAUGUUCAUUUCACCAUAUUUUCUAACGUUUCCGCUCUAAUUUUGUAUUUCUUCUUAAUGAUUUUACAUGAAAAAUCUUGACUAUAUAUGUUAAUAGUGUUUAUCAUCAUUAGCAUAUAUUAUAUAUCUUUAAUUAUAAAGUCUUUCACCCCAAUUAAAGUCUCUAUUAAUUUUUUUUUACUAAAUAUGCGAGCCACCCAAGUAAAUUUGCAUAGUAUCCUCAAUUCGUACGUCCACCAAAAAAAUAAUUCAAUGAACAUGGUACUUGGCAAGAUAACUCGCCCAAGCCCAAUUUAAACUUUUACGAGAUAUGAAAAUUGUUUCAAAGAUAACUCACUUGGGAAAGAGGACGAUGAACAGGUUACUAUGAAUAUAGAUUUUUUAUUUAUAAAUAAGCAUUUAUCAAAAAAGCUUCCUAAUUGUUGAGGAGCGGGAGCAGGGAAGUAAUGCUUUUUAUCUUUAUUUUUUUUUGUAAGAAAUAGUUGAUGUGCAUCAUCUGCAUGUUCUUAAAGUGGAAACACUGGCAGAUCCUUUAAACACAAAAAGAAUUUCCAAUUGUUGAGCUUUAAUGGAUGUUGUUCUAUUCCGGUCAUAAGAUCGUAACCUACAUCUCUCCAAUCCAUUCUUACAGUCCAUCAGCUUGGUUAUCCCCGACCAACCUGGUAGAUUGGGGGCAACUAUUCCAUCCCAGUCAUAACCAGACAAUUGACUAUGGGUCCUGAGCAUAACGUUCAUUGCCCCGCAUAACCUUCAUUGUCCGCCUUAAGUAGGCUCCCCAUGGGAGAAACUAUAAGAGUCCCCAACAUAGCAUUUAAUGCUCCUGACAGAACAUUUAAUGCUCACGGUAUAGCAUUUAAUGCUCACGGCAUAGUAUUUAAUGCGCUGCUGACCCACCUUCUGUGUUAGAUAACAGACCUCAUGUCAGGCCGCCUGCACAUUAUGCCUUUCCCAGACAAUUCGACCAGAGUAGAUUCGUAGGACAAGAAAGGACGAUCUGAGUAUGUUCCUUAUGCCCGUUAGAUGCUGACCAAUGACCAUAUGUCAACUCCGCAUUCACAACACUCUAUAAAUAGGAGACCACACAUGAAGUAUAAUUAAUUCUCAUUUUCUAUCAUUCAUUGCUACACUUAUUACUCUAACCUCUCUCUUAUUUACCUCUCUUCUCUCUCUAGAAUACAUUACUGACUUGAUCGUCGGAGAACCUUUAUAGGUACCUCCCCUGACAGGUCCAGACGAUCAUCUGACCAAGUCUCCUGCUCUCCCACACUUUCUCGUUCAUUCAUCAUCAGCUCCCGACCAUUCGUCCUCAAUUCCCGAUCUUCCAGCAAAGAACAUUGGCGUCAUUUGUAGCUUACCUACAACAUGGUGACCACCCGUAACCAAGUUCAACCACUUAGCCAUGCAGAACCACUCAACCCGAAUCAUGAUACCCUUUCCAUUGAACCUCCAGCACCAGUGCAACCAUCUCACCAGGCCAGCCAAAGUCAUCUCCCAAACACCAUUCCGGAAGCACCCACCACCCAACAACUCCUCCACAUGAUACAGACCCAAGGCCAAAUUAUCCAGCAACAGGCCCAACUACUAGCCGAGUUGUGCAAACAUCGACCAUAACCCAGUAAUGGACCUUCGUGGCCAGUUGUCGAUGAGCACUCUGCUGAAUCUGUUGAAGCCUCUAGACUAGUAGCUCCCUCAAACACGAAAACCACUAAGAUAACUCACCCCCCCCCCCCAAACACGACCACAGCUCUCCACGAGCAAGACAUCCCUUCAUCGACACAAUUAUGUCCUCACCACUCCCAAAACAUCUUACCCGACCAAGCAACAUCGAACAAUACGAUGGAACAAGUGACCCACAUGAUCAUCUGGAUGCCUUUGAAACCUUAAUAUUGUUCCAUGGGGCCACUAACCCCAUCAUGUGUCGGGCAUUCCCCUUUCUCUGAAACGGGUUGCUCUGUUGUGGUUUACCCGGCUCGCAUCAAACAGCAUCGACCAAUGGGCCACUCUCGCCAACGGAUUCAACAUCCGCUUCACAGCAAGCAAAGAGCAACCUCGCUCUUCUUACACCUUGUCUGGUAUACGGCAUGAGUCACAUGAACCCCUUCGAGCUUACCUAGACAGAUUCAACUCGGCGGCCAUGAAGGUUCGCACUCUGAGCCCGGAGGUGGCGGUACAUAUCUUGGUGACAGGAUGGCCUCUUCAGGCAAGAAUUGGCUAAAUAUUCAAACUCACAAUGGAAGAACUCUGAUCUAAGGCUCAACAAUUCAUCAAUCUAGAAGAAAUCCAUCCUAACUACCCACCCAUCAACCAUAGAGAAUACCAACCCCCUCACAGGAAACCAAACGCCCAAAAACAUACUAACACCCUCGAGAUGAUCCACCCCGACAACCCAAAAAACCCCAAAUACUCCUCUUACACCCCCUUCAAUGCUAGCAGAACUAAAAUUUUGCAAGAAGUUAUUGCCACCCACUUAGCCCAGCUCCCCAAACCCAAUCCAAGCAGGAGAUUAGGGACCCAAGACCCCUCCAAAUAUUGUGACUUCCACACCCUCUUUGGCCAUGUAACAGAGGAAUGUACACAGCUGAGGGAAACUAUCGAAGACCUGAUACAAGUCGGACAUCUACGAAAAUUUAUAGAUCGGGCCCGCCAAGAACGAUCAUCACCUCUACGUCGAUCCAGUCCUCCUGAAAGAUGUUCCCCCCAAAUCAUCAUCAGGAACGCCUUCCGAAUAGAGACCGGAGAGACCAGUAUCGCUCCAACAAUAGGCGACAACAGAGCCCAAAGGACAUCAACACCAUAUCCGGUGGAUUCGCUGCCGAUGGUACAUCCAGGUCAGCUCAGAAAAGAUAUGUCCGGGAGAUAAUGCAAUCAAUUGUCCAAAAACCCCACCAAUAUCAGGGCCACCAGGAAACACCCCCAAUCUCCUUUGACGAUCGUGAUUAUUAAGGCGUCUUCUGCGGUCAUGACGAUCCCCUAGUCAUCACCGCUAAAAUGAAUAAUAAAAAGGUGGGACGCUUAUUUGUUGACCAAGGUAGUUUGACGGACAUCAUGUUUCAAGACCUGUUCACAAAAAUGGAACUCAAAGACAGAUACUUCUUGCCAUAUGAAGGACAACUUGUCGGUUUCAGUGGACAAGGAAUCACCCCCGGGGCUAUGUUAAUAUAUGGCUGACUGUCGGGGAACACCCUCUGACCCGGACAAUUCAAAUAAAGUUCCUGGUCAUCGACUAUGUUUCGGCCUACGCCAUACUCGGUCGACCAACACUCAACCAUCUCGAAGCAAUAGUCUCCACUCCACACUUCUGCAUGAAGUUUCUCUCCUCUAACCUCUGAGUAUGCACAGUUAGGGGAGAUCAACAUAGCGCAAGAAGUUGUUAUCAGAUGAGCCUUCGACCAAAUCAAAAUUCAACACGAACACCACCCCCUAAGGAAAAACAGUGAGGCGUGCACUUGGAGGAGUUAGAUGUCAGGGCAGAUAUAGAAGACCUACGACCUCAGCCAGAAGGAGAUAAAACCUCCCUUCAACUCGGCCCCUUGAAAGAAAAUCUGGUGUAUAUCGACUCAACUCUCAACGAAGCUCGGAGAUCAAAACUGAUCAAAUGCCUGAAGACCAACAAAGAUCUUUUUGCCUGGUCCGUUGCGGAUAUGCUCGGAAUAGAUCCCUUUGUUGCAUGCCACCACCUGACGGCAAACCCAGGAGCAAGAUCGGUGGCUCAAAAGAAAAGAAAUAUGGGCGCCGACGAAGUAACCGAGGUUACUCAAAAGAUCUUAGAAUUACUAUAGGUGGGCUUCAUCUGAGAAAUAACAUAUACGACUUGGCUGUCAAACGUCGUGCUGGUCAAAAAAUCAUCUAGGAAGUGGCGGAUGUGUGUAGUCUACACAGACUUGAACAAAGUGUGCCCAAAGAAUCCAUACCCCUCCGAAUAUCGAUCAUCUCGUUAACAAUUCUUCUGGGUAUCAGUUCCUGUCAUUUAUGGAUGCUUAUUUAGGGUAUAACCAGAUUCCCAUGUACCCCCCAGACUAAGACAAGACCACCUUCAUUACACACAAGGUGACUUACUAUUAUACGGUCAUGUCGUUCCAUUUGAAAAAUGCGGGGGCUACAUACUAGAGGAUGAUGAACACCAUUUUUGGAGAUCAGAUUGGGAAGAACAUGGAAGUCUACAUGGACAAUAUGAUCACCAAGAGUCUGCCAACGGAGGAUCAUGUGAGUAUCCUAAAUGUCGUCUUCGACCGACUGCAUAAGUUUAAUUUAUGCCUCAACCCGGAAAAAUGUACAUUUGGAGUCGAAGCCGACAAGUUUUUAGGAUUUUUGUUAACAAGCCGGGGUAUUUAAGCCAACCCAACAAAAUGUCAAGCAGUCAUCAACAUGCGCAACCCAAGAUCGGUUAAGGAAGUUCAGCAACUUAAUGGGCAAUUGGCAGCCUUGGCCAGAUUCCUUCCAGCAUCCGCCAAGCAUUCCCUUCCACUAUUCCAACUUCUCAAAAAAAGCAAUAACUUUACUUGGUCGGAAGAUUGCGAAUCAGCUUUCCAAAUUUUCAAACAAUAUCUAGCUACCACUCCCGUGCUUUCAAAGCAUGUACCUGCCGAAACACUAUACGUCUACUUGGCAAUAACAGACGGGAGCGUAGCACCACCCUAAUCAGAGAAAGUGAAGAUGGUCAGCACCUAGUGUACUUCACCAGCAAAGCAUUACAAGGCCCAAAGCUCAGGUAUCAGAAGUUAUAAAAGGUCGCUUACGCCCUCUUGGUGGCAACAAGACGGUUGCGACAAUAUUUUCAAUCCCAUCCGGUGGUGGUCAGAACCAAUCAACCUAUCCGCCAAAUUUUGCACAAGCCUGAGCUGGUCGGACGGAUCAUCUCCUGGCCUAUUGAACUAACCCAAUUAGAUAUACGACACGAACCCAGGACGGCUAUCAAAAGCCAAGUCAUGUUCGACUUCAUUGCCAAAUUGAUCACACAACUAGGUAAUUUCGAGCAAAUAUGGACCAUAUAUGUUGACGGUUCAUCCAAUCCCCAAGGCAGUGGAGUAGGGGUUUUAUUGGAUAACAGCCAGGGGAUGACCAUCGAACACUCGUUGACCUUCACCUUUCCCGCAUCAAUUAACUAAGUAGAAUAUGAAGCAUGCAUUGCCUAUUUGGAGUUGACCAGGGAAGUCAGGGCUGAGAAAGUCUCCAUUUGUAGUGAUUCCCAACUCGCAGUCUCUCAGAUUAUACAGGUCUAUCAGACAAAGGAUGUGUUACUCGGAAAGUACCUAGCCAAGGUUAAGGAGUUCAUGGGCAAGUUUGAAACGGCUUCCAUACAACAUGUCCCAAGGGAGCAGAAUAUCUAGGCUGACAUCCUGUCCAAACUAGCAAGCACGAAGAGCCUGGGUAACAACAGAUUAGUAAUUCAAGGGACAAUCCUACAGUCCAGUGUCAUGGCUAUCGAGCAAGCACAGAUCCCGAUCGACUCGAACGUCCCGAUCAUCAGGUACUUAACCAAUGGCGACCUACCAGCAGAUCAGAAAGACAGGCAGAGAUUCCUCAUGUUCACCAUGGUACAGGGUUGUUUGUAUCGUCAGGGCUUUUCUACUCUCAUGCUCAAAUGCCUCGGCCCCGAUAGGGCUCAGUACGUUCUUUAAGAAAUCCACGAGGGAAGUUGUGGUCAAGACCUCGGCACGACAUCACUCACCAAAACGAUACUCCGAACUGGGUAUUAUUGGUCGACCAUGGACAAAGACGCCUCCGAAUUCACUAAGAAGUGUACACCCUACCAAUUGUUUGCCGACCUCCACAAGGCUCCCCCCGAAGAGCUCACAACAACAAUGACCCCAUGGCCCUUCUGCAUAUGGGGUAUGGAUAUUUUGGGACAAUUCCCACCAGCAAUCGGACAACUUAAAUUUAUGAUAGUGGUGGUCGACUACUUCACUAAAUGGAUUGAAGUUGAACCCAUGUCCAACAUCACGGCAGCCAACAUGUGGAAGUUCACUUGGAGAAAUAUCAUAACAAGGUUCGGGAUACCCGUCGCGGCAGUCACUGACAAUGGAACUCAGUUUUCUGACCGGAAUUUUAGAGAACUGUUGACAGACCUCCACAUCAAACAACAUUUCACUUCAGUUGACCAUCCUCAAACAAAUGGUCAGGCAGAAGCAGCCAACAAAUUCCUCCUCAGUGAGAUAAAAAGAAGAUUGCAAGAAGCUAAUGGAGCCUGGUCGGAACAGUUGCAUCAUGUCCUUUAGGCUUAUCGUACAACUCCUCACUCCACUACCAAGGAAUCUCCUUUCAACCUUACUUACGGGUCUGAGGCUAUGAUCCUAGUAGAGAUCGGCGAACCCACAUGGUGAACAGCACACUUCGAUGAAGCCGCCAAUUCGACCAUCUUAAAGUACGACUUAGACUAGAUCGAAGAGAAGAAAGACCGAGCCAAAAUUAGAGAAACCACCGUCGAACAGAGAGCCACCUAGAAAUACAACUGAGCAGUAGUACAACGAGACUUUAAAACAGACAGUUUAGUACUCAGGAGAGCUGACGUCGGAAAAACAAAGGGCAAACUUGCACCCAAUUGGGAAGGACCGUACCGGGUAAGUAGCAAGAUUGACAAAGGGGCCUACAAGCUCGAAGACCAAGCAGGGAAGGAAAUCCCCCAUACUUGGAACGCAACAAAUCUUCGAAAAUUUUAUGCUUGACAAUGUAAACCCCGUGCCAGACCUUUAUACGACUGAGCAAAAUGAUGUAACUGAAUCCCACUUAUAUGUUAACGAGGUGUUAUUCAGACGUCUUUCUAAAUCCUCCUAGUCACCAGCAACACACCCCUCGGAGGCGUGGGCCAGUCCCCCGCUGAUGGCGGUUCAAAUUCGCCAACCCAAGCCAAGACCGAGUCUUCUGGGUCGCUAUCAAUAUACCCCUCGAAGGCAUGGGCAAGUCCCCCUUUGAUGGCGGUUAAAUUCAUAAACCCAAGACAGGGCCAAGUCCUCUGGGUCGCCAUCAGUAUACCCUUCGGAGGCAUGGGCUAGUCCCCCUUCGAUGGCGAUUAAAUUCAUAAACCCAACACACGACCAAGUCCUAUGGGUCGCCAUCAGUAUACCUCUUGGAGGCAUGGGCCAGUCCCCCUUCGAUGGCGGUUAAAUUCGUAAACUCAAGACAAGACCAAAUCCUCUAGGUUGCCAUCAACAAACCCUGCAAAAAUAUGAAUCGAAACGAUGGUAACCAGGUCAUUAAGUCGAUUACCCGGUCAAUCCAGCCUUGUCAAUUGAUUAACAGUUUUAAGUCCAUUAGGUUGGUUACCCGGUCAAUCCAGCCUUGUUAAUUGAUUAAAAGUUUCAAGUCCAUUAGGUUGGUUACCCGGUCAAUUCAGCCUUGUUAAUUGAUUAAAAGUUUCAAGUCCAUUACGUUGGUUACCCGGUCAAUCCAGUCUUGUUAAUUGAUUAACAGUUUCAAGUCCCUUAGGUUGGUUACCCGGUCAAUCCAGACGUGUUAGUUGAUUAACAGUUUCAAGUCCAUUAGGUUGGUUACUCGGUCAAUCCAGCCUUGUUAAUUGAUUAACAGUUUCAAGUCUAUUAGGUUGGUUACCCGGUCAAUCCAGCCUUGUUAAUUUGAUUAACAGUUUCAAGUCCAUUAGGUUGGUUACCCAGUCAAUCCAUCCUUGUUGGUUGUUAAACAGUUGCAAGUUCAUUAGGUUGAUUACCCGGUCAAUUCAGCCUUGUUAAUUAAACAGUGGCAAGUUCAUUAAGUCAAUUACCUGGUCAAUCAAGUUUUGUUAACUGAUUAACAGUUUCAAGUCAAUUAGGUUAAUUACCCGGUCAGUCCAAUCUUGUUAAUUGAUUAACAGUUUCAAGUCCAUUAGGUUAAUUACUCGGUCAGUCCAGCCUUGAUAAUUAUUAGACAGUUUCAAGUUUAUUAAGCAGAUAGUACAGACGACCAAAGGCAAUAUGUAAACAGGACAAGCGGGGAUAGUAUAGAUAACUAAAAACAUUACAUUUUCAAUGCAUUAAACCCAUAAUCAUCGCCCGCUAAGUCCUACCCGGGACCGGAAGCUUCAUCGGGCCUUCACCAUCAUCGGCAACCAACUCCCCCCCAAGAGUAACUGACGCAUCAAUCUGGGUCCAAGACUAGUCAUGAUCCGGAAGAACCAACCGUGCCUGAGCAAAUGCAUU
rnacentral:lncRNA from 1 species